rnacentral:lncRNA from 10 species
CAGGAUUCCUUAAAACAGUCUCAUGAUGGCCUGGCCAAUCCUGAGCUGUCCCUCCAUGACGAAACCCUCAACAGCUCCUGCCAGACAAACUUCCAGGAAUUGGGAGAGCUAGAGAAGACUGUUUUACUGAAACAUCUCCUUCAAUGCAAGCAUAGGCAGACCAUCCAGUGGAGGAUUAUAAGCCCCUCCCAGAUGGUAGAACCACUGAGAAGACAACCUGCAUUGUACUGUCAUAUGAGCAAGAAAUAAACGAAUACACUGAGAUUUGAGAGUUGUUUGUUUAGUAGCUCAUAUCACUUGUUACUUACCUGACUAGUACAUAUAAAGACAAACACUGGUUUUAAUUGAUUUUAAAAGUAAAACAGUUAACCUCAACUUGUACCUCAGGUUUGCUGCUUUGGGCUCCGUCUUAAGAACUGGGUACAUGUUUGUAAUUUUCUGCCCCGGGAAAUUCCAAUAGAGGCAUUUGAGAAGCUCUGGCCUAAAACCACUGACAGGUUCGGAGAACAUCUAAAGAGAAGAAAAGGUCUUUUCUAAUAAUCUAUUAGUCUAUUAGAGACUAUAUAUUUUGCAUACAAUAUAUAUAUUUGGUGUGGACAAAAUGAUAGUAUCAUGCAUGAAAAUGAAUUUCCCCAAAGAGAGAACAAUUAGAUUUGAACUCUUGAUGUCUGUAUCCUGCAUGAAAAAGGUCCUAGCCCCAUUGUCAAUAUUUACUUUGUCUCAUUUUUUAAAAU